GAUGAAGAACGUAGCGAAAUGCGAUAAGUAAUGUGAAUUGCAGAAUUCAGUGAAUCAUCGAAUCUUUGAACGCACAUUGCGCCCCUUGGUAUUCCAUGGGGCAUGCCUGUUCGAGCGUCAUUUGUACCCUCAAGCUUUGCUUGGUGUUGGGUGUUUGUCCCGCGUUGCGCGUGGACUCGCCUUAAAGCGAUUGGCAGCCGGCAUAUUGGCCUUGGAGCGCAGCACAUUUUGCGCUUCUAGUCAUGAAUGUUGGCGUCCAUUAAGCCUAUACAUUUGCUCUUGACCUCGGAUCAGGUAGGGAUACCCGCUGAACUUAAGCAUAUCAAUAAGCGGAGGA
rnacentral:misc_RNA from 1 species